rnacentral:lncRNA from 1 species
CUCAAACCUGGAGACAUUUUUCUGUGAACAAGUUGGCUUGAUUUCACUUCUCCUUUUGUCUCUGCAGAAUCCAUAUGUGCACUGCGUGAUUUUACAGGAGACAAAAUGCUUGGGAGAGUCUUUUCACACCAUGCUGCCUUAAUGGGACCGCUAGACACAGAAGACCUCAAAGCCCGAAGGGACAAAAGAUCCGCAGGACAGAAGGAGCCUGGAUACCUGAAUCACCAUGGGAAGAAAGCCCUCGCUGACGUGGAUUCCUGUGUGGCGCUGUUUCUUGCGUGAAUAGCAAACUUCUGUUGUGUUCAGUGGCUUUAACAUGUAUGGAAAUAGGGAUGGCCUAGAGCAAACUCAAGAACAACAGGAAAGGAACCAUGUGAAUAUGACUAUGGUGAAAAGACAGGAAGGACAAGCCUCUUAGAGAGUUAUCUGCAUCCUGAGGCCUCACUGCCUCCAGUCCACGUGUAUCCCUGAAAUAUGUCUCCACGUAUCUGAGGUGACUCGAGACAAUCAUCUCUGACCCUUAUAUCAUAGCUAGAUAGAUAGGUAGAUAGAUAGUCAUAUAUACACAGAUACGUAUAUUCUUAUGCACUUAGAUGAGACUCACAUUUUUUAUUUUUUGUAUACAUUUCACAUUUUCUAACAUGAACAUAUGUUUCCUUUGUAACAAAUAUGUGCACGCACACACACAUACAAACACAAUCACUACAUAUCUGGCGUAACAAGUAUUUUCCUAUUCAGUUAGCCCCGAAAAUUCCCGAAAAGUAGCGUGCAGUGUCUUGAUUCUCUUUGAUAAAAUAUUUGCAACAUGACAAGUGGGGCAAAUAAGCAAUAAGAGGGUGGCCUGAACUUUCUGGAACAGAUUAUUUUCCUGUAGAAUAAAU